ACCUGUGAUGGUUAAAAAAAAAAAAUUAAAACAAAAAAACUCCUCCCUUCAUUUUGGAAAAGCGCAUCCUAAACAAAAUAUUUCACCCCUCGUCCCAGCUGCUCCCUCUUGUCUCCCUCACUUCACUCGAUCUUCUGCUUCUCACUGCUUCUUCCCCACCACCAUCCAUCCCAAAGCACCGGCAUGUUGUAGAUGCCAUUCCAAGCACCCCGUCUCUCCUACGCGUUUCUCCCCCUGCUUCUCACUGUCAACUCGCCUACUUCCGGAAGCCACCACCCCACAACCGCCGCCUCUCCUCUCCUGGGCAAAGACUCGCGCGCACCACCACUUUCGCCGGCUCGCCUACCGCUAGACAACGCUAGGUUGUGGCUAGGUUCAACGAAUUUGUGACAAGACGGCUAAUGGAAGGAGCUCUUGACACUUUCAAGAAAUAUUCUGUCAAUGAAGAUAUUGAUGUUGUUUGGGUUCCUGGUGCGUAUGAGCUAGGCGUCACUACAUAGGCACUUGGCAAAUCAGGAAAAUAUCAUGCUAUCAUUUGUCUUGGAGCAGUGAUACAGGUUGUGGCUCACACUUAUGUUCCAAUCCACAGGGACUAAGAAGAAGUAGAAAGUUAAGCAAGGGUGAAGUCGACCUACGAGUGGGAAAUGGAGCACAGAUUGCUGCAUUAGCUGUAGGAACUUAUUAUUUGUUGUUGCCCUCUGGGCUAGUUUUGGAACUGGAAGAGUGUUUCCAUGUUCCAAGUCUUACUAAAAACAUCAUUUCUGUUUCUUGCUUAGAUGCUAAGGGAUUUUCCUUUUUAAUAAA